AGCGAACGUUUGCGGCGGGCUUAACACAUGCAAGUCGAACGAGAAUCCCUUCGGGGAGGAAAGUGGCGCACGGGUGCGUAACACGUGGAUAACCAACCCUUUGGUUUGGGACAACACCGGGAAACUGGUGCUAAUACCAGAUGUGUCGCAGCUGUCUUCAGGCGGUUGCGAGAAAGGCCCGCAAGGGUCGCCAACGGACGGGUCCGCGUCCCAUCAGCUAGUUGGUGAGGUAAUGGCUCACCAAGGCAAAGACGGGUAGCUGGUCUGAGAGGAUGAUCAGCCACACUGGAACUGAGACACGGUCCAGACUCCUACGGGAGGCAGCAGUGGGGAAUAUUGCGCAAUGGGCGAAAGCCUGACGCAGCCACGCCGCGUGAGCGAUGAAGGUCUUCGGAUCGUAAAGCUCUGUGGGGGAGAAGAAGAAAGCCGGUGAAGAGCCGGCCCUGACGGUAUCCCCUUAGCAAGCACCGGCUAACUCCGUGCCAGCAGCCGCGGUAAAGUCUGU
rnacentral:rRNA from 1 species